rnacentral:rRNA from 1 species
AGAGUUUGAUCCUGGAUCAGAGCGAACGCUGGCGGCAUGCUUAAGACAUGCAAGUCGCACGGAGGGUUUCGGCAGUCAGUGGCGGACGGGUGAGUAACACGUAGGUAUCUGUCCUGGGGUGGGGGAUAACCGGGAGAAACUAGGGCUAAUACCGCAUAAGGACUGAGGGCGAAAGGCGCGAGGCGCCUGGGGAGGAGCCUGCGUACGAUUAGCUUGUUGGUGGGGUAAAGGCCUACCAAGGCUUCGAUCGGUAGCUGGUCUGAGAGGAUGAUCAGCCACACUGGGACUGAGACACGGCCCAGACUCCUACGGGAGGCAGCAGUGGGGAAUAUUGGACAAUGGGCGCAAGCCUGAUCCAGCAAUGCCGCGUGGGUGAAGAAGGUCUUCGGAUUGUAAAGCCCUUUCGGCGGGGACGAUGAUGACGGUACCCGCAGAAGAAGCCCCGGCUAACUCCGUGCCAGCCGCCGCGGUAAUUC